rnacentral:rRNA from 1 species
GUGCCAGCAGCCGCGGUAAUACGGGGGGUGCGAGCGUUGUUCGGAAUUAUUGGGCGUAAAGGGCGCGCAGGCGGUUUGUUAAGUCUGAUGUGAAAGCCCCGGGCCCAACCCGGGAAGUGCAUUGGAUACUGGCAGACUUGAGUACGGGAGAGGAGAGCGGAAUUCCUGGUGUAGGGGUGAAAUCCGUAGAUAUCAGGAAGAACACCGGCGGCGAAGGCGGCUCUCUGGACCGCUACUGACGCUGAGGCGCGAAAGCAUGGGGAGCAAACAGGAUUAGAUACCCUGGUAGUCC